rnacentral:tRNA from 1 species
GCCUGGCUGGCUCAGUUGGUAGAGCAUGAAACUCUUGAUCUCAGGGCUGUAAGUUCAAGCCCCACAUUGGGUG